rnacentral:rRNA from 1 species
UAGGGAAUCUUCCGCAAUGGACGAAAGUCUGACGGAGCAACGCCGCGUGAGUGAUGAAGGUUUUCGGAUUGUAAAGCUCUGUUGUUAGGGAAGAACAAGUACCGUUCGAAUAGGGCGGUACCUUGACGGUACCUAACCAGAAAGCCACGGCUAACUACGUGCCAGCAGCCGCGGUAAUACGUAGGUGGCAAGCGUUGUCCGGAAUUAUUGGGCGUAAAGGGCUCGCAGGCGGUUUCGUAAGUCUGAGGUGAAAGCCCCCGGCUCAACCGGGGAGGGGCAUUGGAAACUGGUGAACUUGAGUGCAGAAGAGGAGAGUGGAAUUCGACGUGUAGCGGUGAAAUGCGUAGAGAUGUGGAGGAACACCAGUGGCGAAGGCGACUCUCUGGUCUGUAACUGACGCUGAGGAGCGAAAGCGUGGGGAGCGAACA